GCCUGGGGUAGCUCAGUUGGGAGAGCACGUGACUCUUAAUCUCAGGGUCAAGCGUCUGAGCCCCACACUGGGCA